rnacentral:snRNA from 1 species
UAUUAAAGCAUAAUAUAAUAAUAAAAUUGGACCGAUACAGAGAAGAUUAGCAUAGCCCCUGCGUAAGGAUGAUACGCACAAAUCAAGAAAUGUUCUAAAUUUUU